UGUAAGCUUACUUUAAUUUUUAACUUAUUUUAAGCAAGAAACUUUAUUUAAUAAUGAAAAUUAGCUUAAAAUAAGAGUUAGUGGUUCUCUUACUAUAAAUAAGCUUAUAAUUCGACUGAUUUUUAAUUCACUGGUCUUAAGUAAAAAAAAGACGACAGUGACUUUUUAAAAGUCUUUACUUGAGCUGGGUGUCAGUCCGCCGAGUCUUAAAGUGGUAGUUGUGACGUCACAGGCAAAACGUCUGUUGUGAAAACGCCAUAGCGUACGCGUACAGUGAAGCGUGGUUGAGAAAUGAUUUUCUCGUGUUUUAAUUUUGGUUUUAUUCAUUUAUAAUUCACAAGAAGAAGAAGAAGUGAUUAAUAUUUAAUUAACUCUACCAGAGAAGAAGACAUAAGUAUUCUUUUUACAGCGAAUACACCAGUCUCGUCCACAGAACCUAAAGUUGAUGAACCUCCAAGGAUGAUAGCAAUCGGCAGCAAUGAUUUACUGAAUCUCAAAUUUUCAACUUAUGUCGACGGAAUUCCAAUGUUUAACGGAACAGCAAUUGAAGCACUUAUUCAUUUAUUUGCAUUGUACUGGGUUUUUAAUAUCGAAUAUUCCAGCAAAGCACGCAUAUCUUUCACCUUUGUCUCAGCUAUACUAUUUAGAAAAAAAGUCGCUAAAUAUUACCAAAAGUACAAAACUGUGUGGAACUUUUUGGAAGAGCUUAAAUUAUUCUAAACUGUUAAUUCCUAACUUUAACAUUAAAAUUCUAUUUUGAUAUAUUUUGAUAUAUACUGUUGUGUUUAAUGAAAUAUAUAAUAUCCUAUAUAGAUAUAUUUUACAAGUUAUGUAAAACAGUAUUGUACUUCCUAAGAAUAGAGAAGUGAUAUGUCUCUCAAACGUUGCAUAAUGCUCUUUUAAAGAAAUGUUUAUUAUAAAUUAAUCUUCGUCAGUAUUUUAUUUUGUACCUCCAGAAGAGAAAUUUGACUGCUAGUUUUAAUAAUGGUUUUUAUAGAAUAAGUAAAUCAAUGUCUAUAUUUUUCUCAAUAAAAAUUUUAAAAUAUA